GUGCACACUUGCAGUAGUAGUGAAGGCUGUGAUGAGAAAAGGGAGCGACGGGGGAAAUUGUGUACUGGUUUUAGCUGUACCAACAGCUCCUUAGACCACUUGCUGCACUACUGAAGAGGAAAGUGUCGGCAACACUCAUAUGGAAGGAAAUGUAUCUGCUGCUCCCAUGAAUCUAGAAAGUAGACAGAGCAUCACCAUCAAGUGUCUCACCUACCAUUACGCCAAGACAAAGAAAGAUUAAUAAACUGAUCAAAAUUAAGAAAUAAAAUGGGGAAAAGACCUUA